AGAAGAGGUUGUCUGGCUCGGUUGAUGCAAUUUACAAAGUCAGCCGCUGCAGAGCAAUGUUUGGACACACUGUACUCUACCUUCUUAGGGACACUUCUGAUCUCCAGACACCAAGGAAACAUGGACAUGGUAGUUCCUCUGGUCGUGAAGGCCCAAUCUGUGGAGCAUCUCCUCCACCUCUGCGUCUCUGUUUGGGCAGAACACAUCAAACGAAUCCCCCGGCUCAUAGGCUAUCGUCGGAGAUGUCCAACUCUAAGAGAAGGCCGGUCUUGACUGAAUCUCCACUGGUCAGGUGCACCGCCCUGUUUAUGGGAACCUCGUGAAGACUUUCUUUGUUUGGCUGUUCAGCAAUCUAGAAAAAACAAAUAAAAUUAAG